rnacentral:lncRNA from 1 species
AACCCUAAACCCUAAAGACCUAAACCCUAAACCCCAAACCCUAAAACCCCAAAAUCCUAAAACCAAAUCCCAAACCCCAAAACCCAAACCCCAAACCCUAAAACCUAAACCCUAAAACCUAAAACCCUAAAUCCUCAACCAUAAACGCAAAACCCAAAACUCUUAUAAAUCCUAAACCCUAAAUCCUAAAUCCUCAACCUAAAACCCAAAAAUCGUGAACCCUAAACCUUAAACCCCAAAAUCCUAGAUCCCAAAAUCCUAAACCCAAAAAUUCUAACCCCAAAAUCCUAAAUCCAUAAACCCU